rnacentral:rRNA from 1 species
CCUACGGGUGGCAGCAGUGGGGAAUAUUGCACAAUGGGGGAAACCCUGAUGCAGCGACGCCGCGUGAGUGAAGAAGUAUUUCGGUACGUAAAGCUCUAUCAGCAGGGAAGAAAAUGACGGUACCCGACAAAGAAGCCCCGGCCAACUAAGUGCCAGCAGGCGCGGUAAUACGUAGGGGGCAAGCGUUAUCCGGAUUUACUGGGUGUAAAGGGAGCGUAGACGGAAGCGCAAGUCAGGAGUGAAAUCCCAUGGCUUAACCAUGGAACUGCUUUUGAAACUGUGCAUCUAGAGUGCAGGAGAGGUAAGAGGAAUUCCUAGUGUAGCGGUGAAAUGCGUAGAUAUUAGGAGGAACACCAGUGGCGAAGGCGGCUUACUGGACUGAAACUGACGUUGAGGCUCGAAAGCGUGGGGAGCAAACAGGAUUAGAUACCCGAGUAGUC